rnacentral:rRNA from 1 species
AUUGAACGCUGGCGGCAGGCCUAACACAUGCAAGUCGAACGAGUGGCGGACGGGUGAGUAAUGUCUGGGAAACUGCCUGAUGGAGGGGGCUAACUACUGGAACCGGUAGCUAAUACCGCAUACCAUCAGAUGUGCGCAGAUGGGAUUAGCUUGUGGGUGGGGUAAAGGCUCACCAAGGAGACGAUCCCUAGCUGGUCUGAGAGGAUGACCGGCCACACUGGAACUGAGACACGGUCCAGACUCCUACGGGAGGCAGCAGUGGGGAAUAUUGGACAAUGGGCGCAAGCCUGAUGCAGCCAUGCCGCGUGUAUGAAGAAGGCCUUCGGGUUGUAAAGUACUUUCAGCGGGGAGGCGGUACCCGCAGAGGAAGCACCGGCUAACUCCGUGCCAGCAGCCGCGGUAAUAC